rnacentral:rRNA from 1 species
CCUACGGGAGGCAGCAGUGGGGAAUAUUGGACAAUGGGGGGAACCCUGAUCCAGCGACGCCGCGUGAGUGAAGAAGAAGUUCGGGAUGUAAAGCUCUAUCAGCAGGGAAGAAAGAAAUGACGGUACAGGACUAAGAAGCACCGGCUAACUACGUGCCAGCAGCCGCGGUAAUACGUAGGGGGCAAGCGUUAUCCGGAUUGACUGGGUGUAAAGGGAGCGUAGACGGCGAUGCAAGUCUGAAGUGAAAGGCGGGGGCCCAACCCCCGGACUGCUUUGGAAACGGUAUGGCUGGAGUACGGGAGAGUUAAGUUGACUUCCUCUUGUAGCGGUGAACUGCGUAGAUCUUAGGAG